UACGUAGGGCGCAAGCGUUGUCCGGAAUUAUUGGGCGUAAAGAGCUCGUAGGCGGUUUGUCGCGUCUGCUGUGAGAACUCGAGGCUCACCCUCGGGCUUGCAGUGGGUACGGGCAGACUAGAGUGCGGUAGGGGUGACUGGAAUUCCUGGUGUAGCGGUGGAAUGCGCAGAUAUCAGGAGGAACACCGAUGGCGAAGGCAGGUCACUGGGCCGCAACUGACGCUGAGGAGCGAAAGCGUGGGGAGCGAACAGG
rnacentral:rRNA from 1 species